CGCGGCAGUAGCGAGCUGAGCGUCCUGCGGCCUGCCGACGACCAGGCGGGGAAGAAGGCGGGCCCGCGGUUACCAUGGAACUGGUCGUCCUGGUCGGCGGGGAUGAAGAAGGAGGAGAAGACUUGCUGCAAGACUGGAGGAUGACGGGGGUGUGAUAAUUCUCAGAAACGUGUUUUAGUAAAUCACCUCGCUUUUCAUGGUGAGUGCAGGGAGCAAAGUGAGCAGAGAUGGUGUUACCCAUGUGGACCCUGUCCCUCCCUCUUCCCGCUGUUAUUUUAAUAGCUAUUGGCUUGUACAUGCUCUUCCUUGCUGGUGUCCUGUGGUGCAGACAUUGCCUGAAGGUUCAGUGUUCACCGCAGUGUGCGACCUGCUGUCCAGACGUCUCGCCGUGCAAGUACUGCUUAGUGUGUGCAGAGUCAUGUGACUGCCGCCUUCCGUCCGUUCACUCAUGCCUGGACCGCGCCUGUCCCUCUCCCUCCUGCACCAUGUGGGACUGCGCCUGCACCUGCCAGCCACCCCAAUGCGACUCGGUCAACUGCCUCUGUUUUGAGAUCAGGUUUCGAUGAGAACGAAGAGAGGGACGAGGACGCUGCUUCAAAUCACUUCUGCCAUUAAAUUUUAUAUAAUGCUUUGUGGUUGUGGUGUUUCCUGUAGUAAGUAUUUUGUAGGGUGUCUAUAGGAAGCCUUGUUUUAUAUGAUCAUUUUCUGUUUUUAUAGCCAUGUUUUUUCUAAUAAAAAAUAUUUUUGUUACUUUUAAAACA
rnacentral:lncRNA from 1 species